CUUCAAAGUCAAGGUGUUGACGAAAAAAAUUGGUCACAGAAAAUUAAAAUCGUAAUUUUCUUUCUUAACUUCUCGGGAAGCUAUGCUGAAUUUAAAUUAUGUUAUGUACAUGUAACAUAACUUGGACUAUGAUAUGUCAAAUUUGUGCCAGUUGAUAUGCUAAGAUACGCAAAUGUGCCAGUUAGAUGUGUCGAUAUUUCUGACGAAGCGGGGCCGACGGUAAUUCACGAGUUACGUCCCUUUGUUUGACACUUUCAUGAACAAACUAUUGUUAUAUCAAGCCCCAUAUGCUGUUAUUUACAUGUGGAUAUUAUUAAAAAUAAUCUUAUUAAAUAUAUUUUGAUACUGUCAACAUGUGCCAAAAAAAUAGAGAAACACAUUUUAUCACUUUUCAGAACUCAGUCCAAGUGAAAUAG
rnacentral:lncRNA from 1 species